GACGUAGGGCGCGAGCGUUGUCCGGAUUUAUUGGGCGUAAAGAGCUCGUAGGCGGCUCGUUGCGUCGGCUGUGAAAACCCGCAGCUCAACUGUGGGCUUGCAGCUGAUACGGGCGGGCUGGAGUUCGGUAGGGGAGACUGGAAUUCCUGGUGUAGCGGUGAAAUGCGCAGAUAUCAGGAGGAACACCGGUGGCGAAGGCGGUUCUCUGGGCAUUACCUGACGCUGAGGAGCGAAAGCGUGGGGAGCGAACAGG
rnacentral:rRNA from 1 species